CAGGUCUGUUGUGCCCAGUAAAUCGCCCUGCCCUCUCUAUUGGAGCGCUAUUAGGUUGGUUUAUUUUAGCAAACAAAGAACACAGGGUAGGAGGACGUCUGACUGCAACAUAAUCACAACUAUCCCAGUGUCUGUGUGUGCGGAGGAAAAAAGAUGGAGGUGGGAAGUAUCCUGAGGAAUACUUUUGUGUCUUAUUUUGAACCUGUCGGGAACGCUGGAGAAGUUCAUUUGCCUAGAAGAGGAGAUGACAAGAACUUAAAAAGAUAUAAAAUCAAGUAGACAGAUGAUGUUGUCAAUGUUAAGUUUCAAUCAAUAUCUAAAUUUACAUGUGGCUUAUUACCAUUAGAAAUAAAAACAACUCUACAAACUUA